CUUCUCCGCGGCGACCGGCGCACGGGUGAGUAACACGUAUGCAACCUGCCCCUGUCAGGGGGACAACCCGCCGAAAGGCGGGCUAAACCCGCGUACAUGCCACCGGGGCAUCCCGGAGGCAGGAAAGGCUUCGGCCGGACAGGGAUGGGCAUGCGGCGCAUUAGGCAGUAGGCGGGGUAACGGCCCACCUAACCGACGAUGCGUAGGGGUUCUGAGAGGAAGGUCCCCCACACUGGUACUGAGACACGGACCAGACUCCUACGGAAGGCAGCAG
rnacentral:rRNA from 1 species